rnacentral:lncRNA from 1 species
CUGGCUAUAUAUCUUAUCAGCGAAGAGAAAGUGACACAAAUUUAUCAUUUCACCACCUUCCGGGUGACCCAAAGGUCCGUUCUGAAUGAAUGGGGAAAAUAAAAGGGAUAUCAGAGCUCAGUUUCAGCUAAGUUAAGGGAAAUGGCACUAGUUAGCUAACAUUUUCUUUCCCAAACACACGGUUUAGAUGCCAUUUAUCAAACUCAAGUUAAUAAACUGACUCUUUCACUAUAUUGGACUCGUCACGAUACUGAAUUAAGGGAAAAAUUGUCAAUUUCUCGCUAACAUUUAAGGCACUGUUGAUGGCUUUCUGAAAACAGCGCUGAUUUGCCUUUUAAAUAAGAUAUCUGAAAAAAUAAGGUGAUUUUUUACAAGUAAAGUACGAGCACACACUGCUUAACAUCUUAUAAACACACCCAAACCUUAAAACACACAGUCAAUCACCCUUUUAAAAUGCUCCAGUGUCCAUGUUUCUCUGUUUCCACUUGGUUAAGAGUGAACUGAUGCCUUUCAUGUCCAAUCACAGUCGCUUCUAUUGAGAACUGGUGAAUACUAUGGCAAAUGUACAAAAAAUACAAUGGCGCCUAAAUGUUAGCGGAAAAUGGACAUUUUUAAAUUUUUAGUAAAGGGACAAAAUUAUUACAGACAACAUGAGGGUGUGCUACAGAGGACUGCUUUGUUUUAUUGCUCACCGGGUUACAUAGGCUGAAGCAGGGAAGCCCCCACGGUGUUAACCUGGUGUCAUGAACUGAAGCCUAGGAGGACACUGAAACGGUAUUACU